rnacentral:rRNA from 1 species
AGCGAACGCUGGCGGCAGGCCUAACACAUGCAAGUCGAGCGCCCGUAGCAAUACGGGAGCGGCAGACGGGUGAGUAACACGUGGGAACGUGCCUUUCGGUUCGGAACAACCCAGGGAAACUUGGGCUAAUACCGGAUACGCCCUUACGGGGAAAGAUUUAUCGCCGAAAGAUCGGCCCGCGUCUGAUUAGCUAGUUGGUGGGGUAAUGGCCCACCAAGGCGACGAUCAGUAGCUGGUCUGAGAGGAUGAUCAGCCACAUUGGGACUGAGACACGGCCCAAACUCCUACGGGAGGCAGCAGUGGGGAAUAUUGGACAAUGGGCGCAAGCCUGAUCCAGCCAUGCCGCGUGAGUGAUGAAGGCCCUAGGGUUGUAAAGCUCUUUCGGCGGGGAAGAUAAUGACGGUACCCGCAGAAGAAGCCCCGGCCAACUUCGUGCCAGCAGCCGCAGUAAC